rnacentral:rRNA from 1 species
AUUGAACGCUGGCGGCAGGCCUAACACAUGCAAGUCGAGCGAGCGGCGGACGGGUGAGUAAUCUAUGAGGCUGCGCUCGAUAGAGGGGUAUCAACUCUGAACACGGUGGAUAAUCCCGUAUCCUAUCGUGUGCACCGAUAUGGGAUGAGCUAGGAGGUGGGGUAAAGGCUCACCUAGGCGACGCUCUCUAGCUGGUCUGAGAGGAUGAUCAGCCACACUGGGACUGAGACACGGCCCAGACUCCUACGGGAGGCAGCAGUGGGGAAUAUUGCACAAUGGGCGCAAGCCUGAUGCAGCCAUGCCGCGUGUAUGAAGAAGGCCUUAGGGUUGUAAAGUACUUUCAGCGGGGAGGCGUUACCCGCAGAAGAAGCACCGGCUAACUCCGUGCCAGCAGCCGCGGUAAUUC